GUUAAGUGGGAAACGAUGUGGGAAGGCCCAGACAGCCAGGAUGUUGGCUUAGAAGCAGCCAUCAUUUAAAGAAAGCGUAAUAGCUCACUGGUCGAGUCGGCCUGCGCGGAAGAUGUAACGGGGCUAAACUAUGCACCGAAGCUGCGGCAGCGACACUAUGUGUUGUUGGGUAGGGGAGCGUUCUGUAAGCCUGUGAAGGUGUGUCGUGAGGCAUGCUGGAGGUAUCAGAAGUGCGAAUGCUGACAUAAGUAACGAUAAAGCGGGUGAAAAGCCCGCUCGCCGGAAGACCAAGGGUUCCUGUCCAACGUUAAUCGGGGCAGGGUGAGUCGACCCCUAAGGCGAGGCCGAAAGGCGUAGUCGAUGGGAAACGGGUUAAUAUUCCCGUACUUGGUGUUACUGCGAAGGGGGGACGGAGAAGGCUAUGUUGGCCGGGCGACGGUUGUCCCGGUUUAAGCGUGUAGGUGUGUGUUCCAGGUAAAUCCGGUUCACUUUAACACUGAGGCGUGA
rnacentral:rRNA from 3 species